rnacentral:sRNA from 1 species
GGUGGGCAUGGUGGUGGAUGCCUGUAAUCCCAACUACUCAGGAGGCUGAGGCAGGAGGAUUGCAAGUUCAGGGCCAGUCUCAGCAACUUUGAAAGAUCCUGUCUCAA